rnacentral:rRNA from 1 species
CGCGGCCUAUCAGCUUGUUGGUGAGGUAAUGGCUCACCAAGGCGACGACGGGUAGCCGGCCUGAGAGGGCGAUCGGCCACGCUGGGACUGAGACACGGCCCAGACUCCUACGGGAGGCAGCAGUGGGGAAUAUUGCACAAUGGGCGAAAGCCUGAUGCAGCGACGCCGCGUGAGGGAUGAAGGCCUUCGGGUUGUAAACCUCUUUCAGCAGGGAAGAAGCGAAAGUGACGGUACCUGCAGAAGAAGCACCGGCUAACUACGUGCCAGCAGCCGCGGUAAUACGUAGGGUGCAAGCGUUGUCCGGAAUUAUUGGGCGUAAAGAGCUUGUAGGCGGUUUGUCGCGUCUGCUGUGAAAUUUCGGGGCUCAACCCCGAACUUGCAGUGGGUACGGGCAGACUAGAGUGUGGUAGGGGAGACUGGAAUUCCUGGUGUAGCGGUGAAAUGCGCAGAUAUCAGGAGGAACACCGAUGGCGAAGGCAGGUCUCUGGGCCACUACUGACGCUGAGAGGCGAAAGCAUGGGGAGCGAACAGGAUUAGAUACCCUGGUAGUCCAUGCCGUAAACGUUGGGAACUAGGUGUGGGCCUCAUUCCACGAGGUCCGUGCCGCAGCUAACGCAUUAAGUUCCCCGCCUGGGGAGUACGG